AGAGUUUGAUCAUGGCUCAGGAUGAACGCUAGCGACAGGCCUAACACAUGCAAGUCGAGGGGCAUCGGGACGUAGCAAUACGUUGCCGGCGACCGGCGGAUGGGUGAGUAACGCGUAUGCAACCUACCCGUAGCAGGGGGAUAGCCCGUUGAAAGACGGAUUAAUACCCCGUAACACAGGGGCUCCGCAUGGAGAUUAUUGUUAAAGGGUCAUUUCUUUUUCAGGGAUGGUCCGGCUACGGAUGGGCAUGCGUUCCAUUAGGUAGUUGGUGUAGGUAACGGCUCACCAAGCCGACGAUGGAUAGGGGAACUGAGAGGUUGGUCCCCCACACUGGUACUGAGACACGGACCAGACUCCUACGGGAGGCAGCAGUGAGGAAUCUUGGUCAAUGGACGCAAGUCUGAACCAGCCAUGUCGCGUGAAGGAGGACGGCCCUAAGGGUUGUAAACUUCUUUUGCAGUGGAAUAAAGUUUGCCACGUGUUGGCGAUUUGCAAGUACGCUGCGAAUAAGGAUCGGCUAACUCCGUGCCAGCAGCCGCGGUAAUACGGAGGAUCCAGGCGUUAUCCGGAUUUAUUGGGUUUAAAGGGUGCGCAGGCGGGGAAUUAGGUCGGCGGUGAAAUUUCGGGGCUCAACCUCGACAGUGCCGUUGAAACCGUUUCUCUUGAGUGCGGAUGAGGUAGGCGGAAUUUGUGGUGUAGCGGUGAAAUGCGUAGAUAUCACAAGGAACACCGAUUGCGGAGGCAGCUUACUAAACCGUUACUGACGCUCAUGCACGAAAGCGUGGGGAUCAAACAGGAUUAGAUACCCUGUAGUCCACGCAGUAAACGAUGAUUACUUGCUGUUUGCGAUACACAGUAAGCGGCGUAGCGAAAGCGUUAAGUAAUCCACCUGGGGAGUACGUUCGCAGAAUGAAACUCAAAGGAAUUGACGGGGCCCGCACAGCGGAGGACAUGUGUUU
rnacentral:rRNA from 1 species